UCUUGCUCUGUUGCCCAAGCUGAAGUGCAGCAACUUGAUCAUGGCUCAUUGCAGCCUUGAACUCCUGGACUCAAGAUAUCCUCCCACCUCAGUCUCCCGAGUAGCCAGGACUUACAGUGGGGAGCAGGGAAGAGGAAGGAAGAAGCCUGUAUUACUCAGAGCCCUCCAGGGAAACAGAACCAACAUGAUGCACGGAGAGAUUUGUUAUAAGGAAUUGGCUCACAGGAUUAUGGGGGCUGAGGAGUCCACACCCAGAAAAGCUGAUGGUGUGAGUUCCAGUGUGAGUCUGGGAGCAGGAAGAGAUUGACAUCCCAGCUUGAAGACAGUCAGGCAGAGAGGAAAUUCUUUCUUACUCAGGCGUUUAUUCUGUUCGAACCUUCAACUGAUUGGAUGGAGCCCACCCACAUGAAGGAGGGCCCUGUGCUUUACUCAGUCUACGGAUUCAAGUGUUAAUUUCAUCCAGAAACAGGCAUGGUGGCCUAGUCAAGUGGACACAUAGCAUGAACCACACCAGGGCUGCCCAGGCCUUUGCCUCUGCAGUGUGGUGUGGAGGCGCUGGCCGACCUUCCUUCUCUUCAUCACAUCCCCACUGGCAUAAGGGGCACUGAAACGCCUACAAGGGCCAUGGCUGGAAUGCAAGGACAUUUCCUGUUUCCACAGAUGGCUCCCUCCAGGGUCUGGGAGCCUCUGCCUUUGGCUGGAACAGGUCACACCCAUUCCGCAGGCGUGAAAACCGGAACGUGGGCUGGGCGCAGUGUGGCAGGCAGGAGUCUCAGAGGCGGAGCUCUGUCUUUUGGCGGCCCUGGCUCAAAUCCUUGGCUUCCUUCCCAGAACCCCCACUUUGGGAGGAAGAGAAAAAUAAAUUGUGUUCUAGGUGCUCAGCAACAAAGGCAAAGUGGCUGAGCAGUGGUAAUGAAUAGCAAGAACAGGGAGUCAAGAGGGCAGCCGCACACUCCAGGUCUGUCUUGGUGCAGAGACAAUAAACACAAUCACCCUGCGGGGAGAACGCACUGCCUCCGGAGCAGGCAAGGGGCAUCGGCGGCUUCAUCGUGAACCAGCAACUGGUGGAGAGGGAGGGGAGUGCACAGGGGAGGACUGCCCAUUAAAGACACCCUGAUCCUAAUGCGAGGCCCCGUGACCUUCUGAAACCUUCUCUAGCUUUUCCCAGAGACGGCUUGGCUGGGAUCGGGGUGGGAUAUGGAUGAGAUCACUAGAUAAAAUAGAGGAUGCCCAGUUAAAGUUGAACUUUUCAUGGGACAUACUUACUUAUAUUAAAAAAUUAUUUGUUGUUU
rnacentral:lncRNA from 10 species